rnacentral:rRNA from 20 species
GAUUCGUCACACUAUCAUUAACUGAAUCCAUAGGUUAAUGAGGCGAACCGGGGGAACUGAAACAUCUAAGUACCCCGAGGAAAAGAAAUCAACCGAGAUUCCCCCAGUAGCGGCGAGCGAACGGGGAGGAGCCCAGAGCCUGAAUCAGCAUGUGUGUUAGUGGAAGCGUCUGGAAAGGCGCGCGAUACAGGGUGACAGCCCCGUACACAAAAGCGCAUGUGCUGUGAGCUCGAUGAGUAGGGCGGGACACGUGGUAUCCUGUCUGAAUAUGGGGGGACCAUCCUCCAAGGCUAAAUACUCCUGACUGACCGAUAGUGAACCAGUACCGUGAGGGAAAGGCGAAAAGAACCCCGGCGAGGGGAGUGAAAAAGAACCUGAAACCGU